CAGAGGGUGCAAACGUUGCUCGGAAUUAUUGGGCGUAAAGCGCGUGUAGGCGGCUUGUUAAGUUGGUUGUGAAAACCCAUGGCUCAACCAUGGAAGGGCGUCCAAAACUGGCAAGCUAGAGUCCUGACGAGGAUGGCGGAAUUCCCAGUGUAGAGGUGAAAUUCGUAGAUAUUGGGAGGAACACCGGUGGCGAAGGCGGCCAUCUGGGAAGGCACUGACGCUGAGACGCGAAAGCGUGGGGAGCAAACAGGAUUAGAUACCCUGGUAGUCCACGCUGUAAACGAUGAGCACUAGAUGUUGCGGGUAUUGACCCCUGCAGUGUCGACGCUAACGCAUUAAGUGCUCCGCCUGGGGAGUACGGCCGCAAGGCUA
rnacentral:rRNA from 1 species